rnacentral:sRNA from 1 species
CGAAGCAUGCAAUAAUAACUUAUGGAGUGCUUUAGUGUUCCCCCGAGUGUCUCGGGGCUUAAGCUGGAGAUUACAUUCCGUAAGACGCUGCUUCA